GAAACAGCCCGGUGACCGUCCAGCGAGGGCAUGCGGGGCGUUACUGAGCCGCGAGCUUGAGACCUGGAAACGCUCACUUCCUUCGGAUUGAAAACUCGCGAGUGUUCGAGUACGCAAGACGUACGUUCUAAAACGACAGCAAUGCCACUUAUGUGAAGUCAUGUCUGGGGACCUCACCUGUCCACACCCCGAAGCCCUGUGCCAAAGACCACCCAGCGGUCAGAGGGCCUCAGGGUGUCGCCAUUCAACUGUCCAGCCUCGUACCUACCGGUCCCCAUUUGUCACGGAGAAAAGGAUGAAGGUCACUGGCGAACAUUUCCCACGUAAAACCAUCAGACUACGUGUGAGCACCGUGUCUGACGGGUGACGUUCAGUUGCAUGAAGCCCUGAGUGACAGAUUUCUUCCCAGAGUCCAGAUGGGUGAGCUUUCUGCACAUUUUGGAACGACAGGGGAGCCGCCGACACUUCAGACCGGGCUCCCCACUGCUCCGGGGUUACUCUGCAGGGCACCCCAAGCUGGAAGCCUUGGGGCUCUUUGUUCAAGCUCCGCCUGGCUUAGCCAC